rnacentral:rRNA from 1 species
GACGAACGCUGGCGGCGUGCUUAACACAUGCAAGUCGAACGGAAAGGCCCUGCUUUUGUGGGGUGCUCGAGUGGCGAACGGGUGAGUAACACGUGAGUAACCUGCCCUUGACUUUGGGAUAACUUCAGGAAACUGGGGCUAAUACCGGAUAGGAGCUCCUGCUGCAUGGUGGGGGUUGGAAAGUUUCGGCGGUUGGGGAUGGACUGGCGGCUUAUCAGCUUGUUGGUGGGGUAGUGGCUUACCAAGGCUUUGACGGGUAGCCGGCCUGAGAGGGUGACCGGCCACAUUGGGACUGAGAUACGGACCAGACUCCUACGGGAGGCAGCAGUGGGGAAUAUUGCACAAUGGGCGGAAGUCUGAUGCAGCAACGCCGCGUGCGGGAUGACGGCCUUCGGGUUGUAAACCGCUUUCGCCUGUGACGAAGCGUGAGUGACGGUAAUGGGUAAAGAAGCACCGGCUAACUACGUG